CGUAACAAAGGUUUCCGUAGGUGAACCUGCGGAAGGAUCAUUGUCGUGACCCUGACCAAAACAGACCGCGCACGAGUUAUCUAGCCCGCUGGGCGGCGGCAUCGUCCGUCGCUUGGCAAAAGUCCUCGACAACCUCAUCUUUUCGGAGUUGGGGCUCGGGGUAAAAGAACCCACGGCGCCGAAGGCGUCAAGGAACACUGUGCCUAACGAGGGGAUGUGGCUGGCUUGCUAGCCGCACCCCGAGUUGCAAUUCUAUAUAAUCCACACGACUCUCGGCAACGGAUAUCUCGGCUCUCGCAUCGAUGAAGAACGUAGCGAAAUGCGAUACCUGGUGUGAAUUGCAGAAUCCCGCGAACCAUCGAGUCUUUGAACGCAAGUUGCGCCCGAGGCCUCUUGGCCGAGGGCACGCCUGCCUGGGCGUCACGCCAAACACGCUCCCACCCAACUAACUUGGGGUGGGACGCGGCAUGUGGCUCCUCGUCCCGCAAGGGGCGGUGGGCCAAAGAUCCGGCUGCCGGCCUAUCGUGCCGGACACAGCGCGUGGUAGGCGACCUCGCUUUACUAAACGCAGUGCCUCCGGCGCGUAGCMRACGCGAUGGCCCNAAUGGACCCUUUUAAGCGGAGUGCAUGACGCUUCGACCGCGACCCCAGGUCAGGCGGGACUACCCGCUGAGUUUAAGCAUAUCA
rnacentral:rRNA from 1 species